rfam:Triticum urartu cultivar G1812 contig5252, whole genome shotgun sequence.
UCCAGAAAUACUUGUCAUCAAAAUGGAUAAAAGGAAAUGUAUCUAGACGUAUUUUAGUUUUAGAUACAUCUCUUUUUAUCCAUUUUGAUGACAAGUAUUUUCGGACGGAGGGAGUAGAAA